CCUACGGGAGGCUGCAGUGAGGAAUAUUGGUCAAUGGUCGGGAGACUGAACCAGCCAAGCCGCGUGAGGGAGGAAGGUACAGAGUAUCGUAAACCUCUUUUGUCAGGGAAUAAAGGCGGGGACGUGUCCCCGGAUGAGUGUACCUGAAGCAAAAGCAUCGGCUAACUCCGUGCCAGCAGCCGCGGUAAUACGGAGGAUGCGAGCGUUAUCCGGAUUUAUUGGGUUUAAGGGGUGCGCAGGCGGUCUGUUAAGUCAGCGGUCAAAGCCCGGGGUUCAACCCCGGCCCGCCGUUGAAACUGGCAGUCUCGAGUGGGAGAGAAGUAUGCGGAAUGCGCGGUGUAGCGGUGAAAGGCAUAGAUAUCGCGCAGAACUCCGAUUGCGAAGGCAGCAUGCCGGCUCCACACUGACGCUGAGGCACGAAAGCGUGGGUAUCGAACAGGAUUAGAUACCCCAGUAGUC
rnacentral:rRNA from 1 species